rnacentral:rRNA from 1 species
UACGUAGGGCGCAAGCGUUGUCCGGAAUUAUUGGGCGUAAAGAGCUCGUAGGCGGCUUGUCGCGUCGGAUGUGAAAGCCCGGGGCUUAACUCCGGGUCUGCAUUCGAUACGGGCAGGCUAGAGUUCGGUAGGGGAGAUCGGAAUUCCUGGUGUAGCGGUGAAAUGCGCAGAUAUCAGGAGGAACACCGGUGGCGAAGGCGGAUCUCUGGGCCGAUACUGACGUUGAGGAGCGAAAGCGUGGGGAGCGAACAGG